AACGCACAUUGCGCCCCUUGGUAUUCCAUGGGGCAUGCCUGUUCGAGCGUCAUUUACACCCUCAAGCUCUGCUUGGUGUUGGGCGUCUGUCCCGCCUCUGUGCGCGGACUCGCCCCAAAGGUAUUGGCAGCGGUCUUGCCAGCUUCUCGCGCAGCACAUUGCGCUUCUUGAGGCUCGAGCGGAUCGGCGUCCAGCAAGCCCACAUCACAGUUUGACCUCGGAUCAGGUAGGGAUACCCGCUGAACUUAA
rnacentral:misc_RNA from 1 species